CACGUAGGGCGCGAGCGUUGUCCGGAAUUAUUGGGCGUAAAGAGCUCGUAGGCGGCCUGUUGCGUCCGCUGUGAAAGCCCGGGGCUUAACCCCGGGUCGCAGUGGAUACGGGCAGGCUAGAGGUAGGUAGGGGAGAAUGGAAUUCCUGGUGUAGCGGUGAAAUGCGCAGAUAUCAGGAGGAACACCGAUGGCGAAGGCAGGUCUCUGGGCCGAUACUGACGCUGAGGAGCGAAAGCGUGGGGAGCGAACAGG
rnacentral:rRNA from 1 species